GUUUAAGAGUAGAAGCAUCAUUUUGGAAUCAAACAUCGUCAGUUUAAAUAAAAAUCAAGCCUGAAACAGAGGCAAAGCAUUCUUCAGAUUCAUUAUUUUCACUUUUCUAAGACUACAAUGCAAUGUUGAUUUUAGAAAAUAAAAAAUGGUAGGUUCUAAAUUCUAAUCAAUGUAGUCUCACUCCAAGGUGAAAGAUAAUAACUUGCAAGCGCAAG